rnacentral:rRNA from 1 species
CAUGGCUGUCGUCAGCUCGUGUCGUGAGAUGUGGGUUAAGUCCCGCAACGAGCGCAACCCUACUCUUAUGUUGCCAGCACGUUAUGGUGGGGACUCGUAAGAGACUGCCGGGGUCAACUCGGAGGAAGGUGGGGACGACGUCAAGUCAUCAUGCCCCUUAUGUCCAGGGCUUCACACAUGCUACAAUGGCCAGUACAGAGGGCUGCGAGACCGUGAGGUGGAGCGAAUCCCUUAAAGCUGGUCUCAGUUCGGAUCGGGGUCUGCAACUCGACCCCGUGAAGUCGGAGUCGCUAGUAAUCGCAGAUCAGCAACGCUGCGGUGAAUACGUUCCCGGGCCUU